UACGGGGGGAGCAAGCGUUGUUCGGAUUUACUGGGCGUAAAGGGCGCGUAGGCGGUCAGCACAAGUCAGUUGUGAAAUCUCCGGGCUUAACUCGGAAAGGUCAACUGAUACUGUGCGACUAGAGUGCAGAAGGGGCAACUGGAAUUCUCGGUGUAGCGGUGAAAUGCGUAGAUAUCGUAAGGAAGACCAGUGGCGAAGGCGGGGUCUCUGGACAGUUCCUGACGCUGAGGCACGAAGGUCAGGGGGAGCAAACGGG
rnacentral:rRNA from 1 species